rnacentral:snRNA from 1 species
CUAGAUAUGGAACAGUCUAGAAU